GAUCAGGGUGGAUCAUGCUCUUGCUCAGUGAGCAUGAUC
rnacentral:misc_RNA from 1 species